UACAGAGGGGGCAAGCGUUGUUCGGAAUUACUGGGCGUAAAGGGCGCGUAGGCGGCCAACUAAGUCGGACGUGAAAUCCCCGGGCUCAACCCGGGAACUGCGUCCGAUACUGGAUGGCUUGAAUCCGGGAGAGGGAUGUGGAAUUCCAGGUGUAGCGGUGAAAUGCGUAGAUAUCUGGAGGAACACCGGUGGCGAAGGCGGCAUCCUGGACCGGUAUUGACGCUGAGGCGCGAAAGCCAGGGGAGCAAACGGG
rnacentral:rRNA from 1 species